rnacentral:rRNA from 1 species
GACGAACGCUGGCGGCGUGCUUAACACAUGCAAGUCGAACGGAAAGGCCCUGCUUUUGUGGGGUGCUCGAGUGGCGAACGGGUGAGUAACACGUGAGUAACCUGCCCUUGACUUUGGGAUAACUUCAGGAAACUGGGGCUAAUACCGGAUAGGAGCUCCCGCUGCAUGGUGGGGGUUGGAAAGUUUCGGCGGUUGGGGAUGGACUCGCGGCUUAUCAGCUUGUUGGUGGGGUAGUGGCUUACCAAGGCUGUGACGGGUAGCCGGCCUGAGAGGGUGACCGGCCACAUUGGGACUGAGAGACGGCCCAGACUCGUACGGGAGGCAGCAGUGGGGAGUAUUGCACAAUGGGCGGAAGCCUGAUGCAGCAACGCCGGGUGCGGGAUGACGGCCUUCGGGUUGUGAACCGCUUUCGCCUGUGACGAAGCGUGAGUGACGGUAAUGAGUAAAGAAGCACCGGCUAACUACGUG